UACGUGGGGUGCAAGCGUUGUCCGGAUUUAUUGGGCGUAAAGAGUCUGUAGGCUUUUUUAUAAGUCAUAUUUCAAAUACCGAGGCUUAACCUCGGGCAGGGAUGUGAUACUGUAAGAAUUGAAGAAUGUAGGGGCUACUGGAACUUACUGUGUAGGAGUGAAAUCCGUUGAUAUAGUAAGGAACACCGAGGGCGAAGGCAGGUAGCUGGGCAUUUCUUGACGCUGAGAGACGAAAGCUAGGGUAGCGAAAGGG
rnacentral:rRNA from 1 species